rnacentral:antisense_RNA from 1 species
UGCGGUAGACCUCGGCGAGCAGCUCGAUGA